GCCUAACACAUGCAAGUCGAGCGGCAGCGCGGGGCAACCUGGCGGCGAGCGGCGGACGGGUGAGUAACGCGUAGGAAUCUACCCAGUAGCGGGGGAUAGCCCGGGGAAACUCGGAUUAAUACCGCAUACGCCCUAAGGGGGAAAGCAGGGGAUCGUAAGACCUUGCACUAUUGGAAGAGCCUGCGUUGGAUUAGCUAGUUGGUAGGGUAAAGGCCUACCAAGGCGACGAUCCAUAACUGGUCUGAGAGGAUGAUCAGUCACACCGGAACUGAGACACGGUCCGGACUCCUACGGGAGGCAGCAGUGGGGAAUAUUGGACAAUGGGGGCAACCCUGAUCCAGCCAUGCCGCGUGUGUGAAGAAGGCCUUCGGGUUGUAAAGCACUUUGAGUGGGGAGAAAGGUCCGCUGGCUAAUACCCAGCGGAAUUGAUGCUACCCACAGAAUAAGCACCGGCUAACUCUGUGCCAGCAGCCGCGGUAAUACAGAGGGUGCAAGCGUUAAUCGGAAUUACUGGGCGUAAAGCGCGCGUAGGCGGCUGUCUAAGUCGGGUGUGAAAGCCCCGGGCUCAACCUGGGAACUGCAUUCGAUACUGGGACGGCUAGAGUAUGAGAGAGGGAGGUAGAAUUCCACGUGUAGCGGUGAAAUGCGUAGAUAUGUGGAGGAAUACCGGUGGGCGAAGGCGGCCUCCUGGCUUCAUACUGACGCUGAGGGUUGCGAAAGCGGUGGGGGAGGCAAACAGGAUUAGAUACCCUGGUAGUCCACGCCUGUAAACGAUGUCAACUAGCCGUUGGGGGCCUUCGUGCCCUUGGUGGCGUAGCUAACGCGCUAAGUUGACCGCCUGGGGAGUACGGUCGCAAGAUUAAAACUCAAAUGAAUUGACGGGGGCCCGCACAAGCGGUGGAGCAUGUGGUUUAAUUUCGACGCAACGCGAAGAACCUUACCAGGUCUUGACAUCCAGAGAAGUCGCUAGAGAUAGCUUCGUGCCUUCGGGAACUCUGAGACAGGUGCUGCAUGGCUGUCGUCAGCUCGUGUCGUGAGAUGUUGGGUUAAGUCCCGUAACGAGCGCAACCCUUAUCCUUAUUUGCCAGCACGUCAUGGUGGGAACUUUAAGGAGACUGCCGGUGACAAACCGGAGGAAGGUGGGGAUGACGUCAAGUCAUCAUGGCCCUUACGACCUGGGCUACACACGUGCUACAAUGGAGCGUACAGAGGGCUGCAACCCCGCGAGGGUGAGCUAAUCCCAGAAAACGUUUCGUAGUCCGGAUUGGAGUCUGCAACUCGACUCCAUGGAGUCGGAAUCGCUAGUAAUCGCGGAUCAGAAUGCCGCGGUGAAUACGUUCCCGGGCCUUGUACACACCGCCCGUCACACCAUGGGAGUGGGUUGCACCAGAAGUAGCUAGUCUAACCGCAAGGGGGACGGUUACCACGGUGUGAUUCAUGACUGGGGUGAAGUCGUAACAAGGUAGCCGUAGGGGAACCUGCGGCUGGAUCACCUCCUU
rnacentral:rRNA from 1 species